rnacentral:piRNA from 1 species
UACAAACACAGAAGGUUUAACAGGA